rfam:Xenopus laevis strain J chromosome 3L, whole genome shotgun sequence.
UGGCCUGCUUUGGCACUAGCACAUUUUUGCUUUUGUACAUAUACUUUGAGCAAUUAUGUGUAGUGCCAAUAUAGGACA